rnacentral:rRNA from 1 species
ACCUGGUUGAUUCUGCCAGUAGUCAUAUGCUUGUCUCAAAGAUUAAGCCAUGCAUGUCUAAGUAUAAGCAAUUACAAAGCGAAACUGCGAAUGGCUCAUUAUAUAAGUUAUCGUUUAUUUGAUAGUACCUUACUACAUGGAUAACCGUGGUAAUUCU